rnacentral:tRNA from 1 species
GGCCGCGUACCCAAGUGGCCUAAGGGAACGGAUUGCAAAUCCGUGAUUCGUGGGUUCGAAUCCCACCGCGGCCU